GUCCCGUCUGCCCAGUGACUACAUGUUCAACGGGCCGCGGUAUUUUAACCGUGCAAAGGUAGCGCAAUCACUUGUCCUUUAAUUAUAGACCUGUAUGAAUGGCACAACGAGGGCUUAACUGUCUCCUUUUUCCAGUCAAUGAAAUUGAUCUCCCCGUGCAGAAGCGGAGAUAAGACCAUAAGACGAGAAGACCCUAUGGAGCUUUAGACACUAAGGCAUACCAUGUCAAGCACACCCGAUAAAGAACCAAAACUUAAUGACCAAUGCCCCUAUGUCUUUGGUUGGGGCGACCACGGGGAAAUAAAAAACCCCCGCGUGGAAUGGAAGGACUAAACAUCUACUCCUACUACAACCAAGAGCCGCAGCUCUAACAAACAGAACUUCUGACCAACAAGAUCCGGCAACGCCGAUCAACGAACCGAGUUACCCUAGGGAUAACAGCGCAAUCCCCUUUUUAGAGGCCGCAUCAACAAGGGGGUUUACGACCUCGAUGUUGGAUCAGGACAUCCUAAUGGUGCAACCGCUAUUGAGGGUUCGUUUGUUCAACGAUUAA
rnacentral:rRNA from 1 species